rnacentral:rRNA from 1 species
GUCUAUGUCCAUACCACCCUGAAUGUGCCUGAUCUCAGAAGCUAAACAGGGUCAAGCCUGGUCAGUACUUGGAUGAGAGAAAGGUAAUCUCUUAGUUUUACCAUUCUUAGGCAGGUUGAAAUGACU